CUACGGGACGCUGCAGUAGGGAAUUUUCGGCAAUGGGGGAAACCCUGACCGAGCAACGCCGCGUGAAUGACGAAGUACUUCGGUAUGUAAAGUUCUUUUAUUAGGGAAGAAUGGCAGGUGGAAAAACCUGAUUGACGGUACCUAAUGAAUAAGCCCCGGCUAACUAUGUGCCAGCAGCCGCGGUAAUACAAAGGGGGCAAGCGUUAUCCGGAAUUAUUGGGCGUAAAGGGUGCGUAGGUGGUUAUUUAAGUCUUUGGUGUAAGUGCAGUGCUUAACGCUGUGAUGCUAAAGAAACUGGGUAACUUGAGUGUGGUAGAGGCAAGUGGAAUUCCAUGUGUAGCGGUAAUAUGCGUAAAUAUAUGGAGGAACACCAGUGGCGAAGGCGGCUUGCUGGGCCACAACUGACACUGAGGCACGAAAGCGUGGGGAGCAAACAGGAUUAGAUACCCUCGUAGUC
rnacentral:rRNA from 1 species